rnacentral:lncRNA from 1 species
CUCUGCACUGGGCUCAGGGCCUAGAAAGCCAUUCCUGCUAUACAGUUCAGAGGGAAGGAGGACAUUCCCAGGAAAGCUGGGUGCUUUCCUGUUGUAAUAUAAGCAACCGCACAGGACAUCAAGCUCAGACAAGGAGCUGUGCUAGAUCUAGACAAAAACAAGUCCAACCCUGCUAAGCCUCCUGGACUCCCCCUUCCUGAGACAUCCACAGUGCCCCGGGCUGUGUUCCCCUUCAUUGCAACAAGCAAUAAACCCAGGCUUCUUGGCAGAUGUUUACUUGGGUCUCUGUUCACCACCUCCUGCUACCCAUGGAGACCAGAAGAGGACUUUGGAUCCCUUGGAACUCAAGCGCCAACCAGUUGUGAGCUGCCAUGUGGACUUCCAGAAGACACUAGCCCUGGAAUCAGUCACUGAGAAAAGAGGAGGACCCAUAGCCACCAAUGCGGGCAGGUGUCAUCCAGUCCCUUGGGGCCCUAAUAAAACAAAAGGCAGAAGGAAGUCAAAUCCUCCCUUCAUGAGUUCAGACAAGCCUUGCUUUUAGACUCUGGAGUUCCUGGUUCUCAGGCCUUGGAACUUGAACCGAAUGCCAUUCCAGCUCGGGGCAGGUUCUAAAACCAUUUGAGCCCAUUCAGCUCCCUAAAGAAAACUUCAUAAAAGGCCAAGUCUACUAGAUGGAGUGACCAAUGUAGGGAACAACGGUGUGACCCUGAAGGAACCCGGGGACACACCCUAUCUUACAGCUCAGACAACCAUAUUGUUCCUCCCCAGUCUCCUCUUCCUCUCAACUGUAAACUUUUCCUCCACUGGUCCAUGUCUUCUAGCUAUUAAGCAGCAUUUGUAUCUCCCUUGUCUACCUUGUGUAUGUGACCUUUUAUCCACAUAAGCACAGGAUACUGAGCCAUGAGUCACAAGCGAGGUUAGUGACCAUUUUCUUAAGACCAGGAUGAAAUUGGUUGCCCACAGUGAUAAGGGAAAGGGCCUGUCAUUUCCCAAACACUGCCCAAGGGAACAAUUCCCCUGGAAUGUGUAAGCCCUGAACAAAUAAAUUUUGAAGAGCCUUUGUC